rnacentral:rRNA from 1 species
CCUACGUGAGGCAGCAGUGGGGAAUAUUGGGCAAUGGGCGCAAGCCUGACCCAGCAACGCCGCGUGAAGGAAGAAGGCCCUCGGGUUGUAAACUUCUUUUAUUCGGGACGAAACAAAUGACGGUACCGAAUGAAUAAGCCACGGCUAACUACGUGCCAGCAGCCGCGGUAAUACGUAGGUGGCACGCGUUAUACGGCUUUACUGGGGGUAUAGGGCGGGUAGGCGGGAGAGCAAGUCAGACGUGAAAUUCCAGGGCUCCACCCUGGAACUGCGUUUGAAACGGGUCUUCUUGAGGGAGGGAGAGGCUGGCGGAAUUGCGGGUGUAGCGGGGAAAUGCGUAGAUAUACGGAGGAACACCAGUGGCGAAGGCG